GGGACUCCGGGAGUGGAAUCCGACCCAUUUCGUGGGACAGAACAUGAGCGCUUAUAAAGGCGGGAUGACACAGGUUGAACAAAAUGAUGCGCUGAAAUAUUUCCGUGAAGGCAAACAUAAACUGAUAGUCGCAACGUCCGUCGCAGAGGAAGGGUUAGACAUAACUAAAUGUAACCUGGUCAUCCGUUACGACCAUGUGACCAACGAAAUCUCUAAAGUUCAGUCGAGAGGUCGAGGUAGGGCCGCAGACAGCUAAUAUGUGGUGAUAGCGGAGGAAAAUACAUCAAUGUCAGAGAAGGAGGAAUUGAACAUGAUCCGAGAGGUCACGAUGCGGCAUGCCAUCAUUCAACUGCAGGUGGGCAAGUCA